UACGGGGGGGGCAAGCGUUGUUCGGAAUUACUGGGCGUAAAGGGCUCGUAGGCGGCCAACUAAGUCGGAUGUGAAAUCCCCAGGCUCAACCUGGGAACUGCAUCCGAUACUGGAUGGCUUGAAUUCGGGAGAGGGAUGCAGAAUUCCAGGUGUAGCGGUGAAAUGCGUAGAUAUCAGGAGGAACACCGAUGGCGAAGGCAGGUCUCUGGGCUGACACUGACGCUCAUGCACGAAAGCGUGGGGAGCAAACAGG
rnacentral:rRNA from 1 species